rnacentral:snoRNA from 11 species
AUGACUUUACUUGAACAGGAUCUGUUAUACAGGCUCAUACCUGUGUCCUUGAGUUUUUACGGAGAACGGAACCUAAAUCCGGUGGAUGAAUUAUGGCCAUGUGAUUAGAGCGUGAUUAACAGUUUGGUGGUUCUAGGAUCAUUCUGCAGUUUAUACAAGGGAAAAAAAAAAAAAAAGAAGGUAUUUUUACAUGUC